rnacentral:misc_RNA from 1 species
GUGAGAACUGUCCGAGUCUGAGGAAUGGAUGAUAGUUCCUCGCGGGCUGCCAGGCGACCAGCAUCCCCCGAGGCGGUGCGCUGUACCCUCGCUGCUCCUGUGUGUGUCCAGAACGAAGUACAGGAGCGAAUCCCAGCAUAUAUUCUGAAAGCGCUGAAGAAAAGCAAAUACUAACAAAAAUUUAUAGAAAACACAGCAAAAACUAAAAGAACUAAAAAAAAAAAACAGCAAAAAGACAAUGAAAGUGUUAAUAAUGAGGAAAGCAGUGAAGAUCGAGGCGUGUGUGUUUUGAAAGUCCCCGUCACACGUGAACCAAUGGCAAGAUAACUGAAGGAAAGAGAGAGAGAGACGGGUAGAAAGCGAUAGAAAAGAAGGAAGAAGGUAUAAUUAUGCUCCAUAAAAAGUGCGCGGGCGUGACUCUUGUGUGAGACUCAUUCUCCGUAACCCUUUCCCUCUUUCCUCUCUUUCUCCUAAUCUCUCUUUCUCCUUUUUUAAUCAUUUUCUUUUUUACUACCUCUACCUAGCGACUUGAAUUUGACACACGUGAUUCGAAGUGUCUAUGUAACGCGAUUUAUUCAUUUAUUUUUUUUCUGUGCUACAAAGUUGAAAAAUUCCGCCAAGAUGAUUCACGGAGGGAUGAGGAGAGCGGGUGUUGGUCUGGCCGGCGUGCUGCAUGGUGUGUUGCUGCUACUGAUGCUGCUGCUGCCGGCCUCACGUCACGUCACAGGUGCUACACUGGAUCCUAAAGAUCACCCAGACACAGUGAAGGCAGUGGUGGGCGAGACAGCGAGAAUCCCGUGCCUGGUGCCCCUGACAGACACCGACAAUAUUUACUUCAUCUCCUGGACCAAAAGAGGCAUCGCGGGCCGUGUUUUCAGCGUGGACAUGCGAGAACCAGACAACCCACAGGCUUUCGUCGCGGGGCAGCUGUUCGGCUCUCGCGCAGAGCUUGAUUUCCAGGGCAGAUUUCCAUACCUGAAGGUGGAAGACUUGCUGGAAAAGGACGCUGGUCACUACACAUGCCAGGUAGAGAUCAGGAAAAAGAGGACGCAGGUUGCCGAGUCCACGCUCAAAAUCAUUGUACCUCCCGGCGACCCAACCAUUCUGAGUGAGGACGGCAGGGAGGUGGACAUUCUCGGCCCUUACAAUGAGGGGGACACCAUCAGCGUUACGUGUCGGGUGAUUGGAGGCCAGCCCUCGCCGCGGGUCUCGUGGUUUCAGGAGCAACAAGUGCUGGACGAGGAAGCUGAACAACGCGAGAAACAGGUGGUCAAGAACACACUCCGCCUGGGACCCCUCACCCGAGAACACUUCGGCACCAACUACUCCUGCCAGGCCGUCAACUCUGAUCAGGUCGGGCCACGCAGCAAGGAGGUCACCCUUCAGAUGUACCUUAAGCCACUGACGGUGGAGAUCAAGAAGCCCGACCAUCCCCUGGUGGUGGGUCGGCAGUACAACAUUACCUGUGAGAGUCGUCACGGCCUCCCCCCGGCAGACAUCACCUGGUGGUUCCUCGGCAAGAAGAUCAAUGCUACUCAGAUUUCUAACGAGAUUCGAGGCAACACGUCUCUGAGCACGCUGAGGUUCCAGCCCAAGGUGAAGAACGCCGGGGAGGAGCUGCAGUGCCACGCCGAGUCCAGCAAGAUUAAACACGCCCCUCUGGUUGACUCCUGGCGCCUCGAGGUCCACUAUGCCCCAGACGUCAGGUUAGAAAUGGCACCAGGCCUCGACCUUCACAACGUGCGUGAGGGAGAUGACGUGACCUUGGUGUGUCACGUCAAAGCCAUUCCAGAGCCCAAGAUCAUCUCGUGGUACCAUAAGCUAAUGGAGGUGAACUACGACGCCUCUGCUGGGAUAGAGAGAAGCGGCUACUCACUCCACCUCAGAAACGUGACCCGCCGACAGUCUGGCUCCUACACCUGCCAUGCCUCCAACAUAUACGGAUCGGGGGAGAGUCACCCUAUCAUCCUUAACGUAAUGUAUGUUCCAUAUUGCACGGAAAAAGAGAAAGUUUACCGAGGAGCGGCGAAAAAAGAUGACGUUGAAUUGGAGUGUAACGUGAAAGGGUCACCAGGAAACAUCACUUUCUCUUGGUUCAUUCUCACCCCAGAGGGAUCGCAACCCAUCCCAGAGGAGAACUACACGACACAAGACCUCACUUCGCGCCUCACCUACCAUGUGCAUGAUGAGGAAUACUACCGGAACGUCACGUGCUACGGGGAGAACCUGGUGGGAAAGAUGGAAGAGCCGUGUGAGUUCCAGGUGACCCCCGCGGGUAAGCCUGAUCCCUUAGAUAAUUGCACAGUCUUCAACCAGAGCAGUGAGGCGCUGUUCGUCUACUGUUUCCCGGGAUACAACGGGGGACUCAAGCAGCAUUUUGGGGUGCACGUUUAUGAAGACGCGGAAGGAAUCCGUCUCAAUAUUAAGAACCACACGGAAAUCUCUGAGCCGAAAUUCACAGUAGAUGGUCUGCGCGCGGAAACCGAAUAUCUCCUGUCUAUUUACGCAGAAAACUCCAAAGGAAAGAGUGAGGAAAGAAAAAUUUACGGCUUUACUCUUCCUGCUGUCGGAAGGCCGGUACACAUCUUCCCCAUCACUCCAGUGCUGGGGGUGCUGAUCGGGGUGGUGGGGGCCCUGGUGCUCGUGGCCAUCGUGGUGGUGGUGGUGAUGAAACUCAAAGGAGACUCAAGAAGAGAGAGAAUUCUGCGCCACGUAGCUGAGCAAGGAAUCAAGCUGCCACAGGCCCCUCUACACCCCAAGGACGGUGAGGAACGCACUUGUGUGGUGACGCGACCUACGAAAACGUGGACGGCAUUCCCCCGAAACUGAAACACGCCAAUAUCUACGAAACGGUUCCUUACGACAAAGAAAAAAGCAGCAAUAAUGAGGACUCAGAGAAGGACGACGUGGAGUACGCUGAGCUCACCUUCAACAACGGCAAGAACAAGAACAAGAGCAACAAGCGCGGGGGAGGACCAGGCGGUGCUAACGGAGUAAUUAGAAACGCAGAUGACAACACCAUUUAC